GAAGAAACGCUUGGAGUCCACCGUGAUGGAGGUGCCUUCCGGAAGCUCUCCGUAGAGGCCGCCCCCGGGGCCCCCGGCGCCGCCGCCCGGGCCCCCUGCCAGCUCGUCGUCCUCGCCGCCGUAGUCGUCGAUGAGCUUGGCCAGCGCGUCGCGGAACUCGAUGAGGCCCUGCGCGGGCAGCGCAAUGGUCUGGCCGCUCUGCAGGCCGCCGGGCCCGGGGCCGCCGCCGCCGCGGUUGACCGUCUGGCGGAUACGCAGGAAGCGGCCACGCUGGUUCUCCUUGAGGUCCAGUGUCUGAAACAUACAUGAUAAUAUCAUCUUCACCAUGACAACAACGUAAGAAAAAAUGAAGGACUCAACUAAGCAGUGGUAGUGGGGCUGAAGCGCCUAGGAAGGAGUUAACUUUUAUCAAAUACCUAUGUACAGGUACUGACAACCAUUUUGCGCGGAAGAAUUCGUGUGUCCAUGUUCACGUUGUGUGGAGAAACCGGAAUGGAUUUAAAAAUUGGUUCCCACUGUGGCCCAUUGGGUUGAGACUCUGACUGCAGCCGCUUGGGUCCCUGCGGAGGCACGGGCUGGAUCCCUGGCAGGGGCAGUGUGUUAAAGGAUCCAGUGUGGCCUCAGCUACAGUGGCUGUGGCCAGCGAUCAGUCUUUGCCCCUGAACUUCCACAUGCCUCCACCCGCCUUAAAAAAAAAGUGCAAAGCAUGUCUUUCCAUGGGAGGAGGUGUGUGCUGAGAGUCACUCUACGUGGGUCUGAACCCCAUUGUAGCUGUGAGGUCUUGCGCAGUUCAGUUCAUCUCUAAGGUUCCGUUGCCUCGCUUGUUAAAUGGGAGUAAUUGUACCUGUCUUGUGGGGUUGCUCUAAUGCACACAAAGCACAUAACCUGCAACAGAGGAAGCACUUUCCAAGUACUUAAUCACCCUUUUUCCUGUUUGGUAAGAAAGACCCAAUCAAACAAAUUUAAAAUAAUCGCUAUCAACCAAACACAAGGUCGUCCAGGGAAAGAUGUCAAAUUUGGGGCUUUGAACAUUUCAGUCCUGGAGAGGAUUUGGACAUUUCAAAUCCCUAGGGAAGGAAGGCCAUGUCAGGCACCACUAUGCCUUUACAGGAGAUGUCCAUGACGCUCCUCUAAUUUCUUGCUAAGCAAGCAACUUCCCUGUAUAGGGGGUCCCAGCACUCAGCUCAUGUGAAGCACUCUCUACCCUUCUGUUCAUUUCUACUAGUUUGGUUUUAAUGAGUCAUGUUCUAUUUAAUGAGUUAGAUCUAUUGCUGUUUCCUUUGAAAUUUCAUUCUUGGCUUUUAAGCUUAGGAUCUUCUCCCUUUUCGUAUGCUUGGCAGUUACACAUUUUCCAAACUUUAUCUUUUUUUUCUUUCUAGGGGUGAAUGUGCGGCCUACGGAAGUUCCCAGGCUAGGGGUCGAAUUGGGGCUGCAGCUGCCGGCCUACACCACAGUCAGAGCAACGCAGGAUCCGAGGUGCAUCUGCAACGUACAUACACCACAGCUCAAGGCAAUGGCAGAUACUUUUUUUUUUUUAGCUUUUAUUAUUUGUUUAUUUAUUUAUUUUUGCUUUUUAGGUCCGCACCCGUGACAUAUGGAUGUUCCCAAGUUAGGGAGUGGAAUCGGAGCUACAGCUAUCAGCCUACACCACAGCUCACGGCAAUGCCAGAUCCCCGACCCACUGAGCGAGUCUGGGGCUCGAGUCCCCAUCCUCAUGGAUACUAGUUGGAUUCAUUUCCACUGCACCACAACUGGAACUCCAAUGCCAGAUACUUAACUCACUGAGCAAGGCCAGGGAUCGAACCUGCAACCUCACGGUUACUAGUCAGAUGUGUUCCUGCUGAGCCUCAAUGGGAACUCCAGACUUUUUAUCGUUCUUUUUUUUUGGCCACACCUGUGGCAUGCAGAAGUUCCUGGGCCAAGGAUUGAACCCAUAUCGCAUCCGUGACAGUGUAAGAUCUUUAAGCCACUGAGCAACCAGGGAACUCCCUACAGUUUGAUUUUUUUAAUAUAUGUGAUUGUGUCAUAUAUUUAUAUUUUAUGUUUAACGCUAGUCUAUCUAGAAUAUAUUUUGGUCCGUA
rnacentral:lncRNA from 1 species